UGGGGAAUAUUGCACAAUGGGGGAAACCCUGAUGCAGCGACGCCGCGUGAGCGAUGAAGGCUUUCGAGUCGUAAAGCUCUGUCCUAUGGGAAGAUAAUGACGGUACCAUAGAAGAAAGCCCCGGCUAAUUACGUGCCAGCAGCCGCGCUAAUACGUAAGGGGCGAGCGUUGUCCGGAAUUAUUGGGCGUAAAGAGUGCGUAGGCGGCAAAUUAAGUCAGAUGUGAAAACUAAGGGCUCAACCCAUAGAUUGCAUCUGAAACUGAUAUGCUUGAGUCAAGGAGAGGAAAGUGGAAUUCCUAGUGUAGCGGUGGAAUGCGUAGAUAUUAGGAGGAACACCGGUGGCGAAAGCGGCUUUUUGGCCUGCAACUGACACUGAGGCGCGAAAGCGUGGGGAGCAAACAGG
rnacentral:rRNA from 1 species